CGCAACGAGCGCAACCUUUAUUGUUAGUUGCUACGCAAGAGCACUCUAGCGAGACUGCCGUUGACAAAACGGAGGAAGGUGGGGACGACGUCAAAUCAUCAUGCCCCUUAUGUCCUGGGCCACACACGUACUACAAUGGUGGUUAACAGAGGGAAGCAAUCCCGCGAGGAGGAGCAAAUCCCUAAAAGCCAUCCCAGUUCGGAUCGCAGGCUGCAACCCGCCUGCGUGAAGUUGGAAUCGCUAGUAAUCGCGGAUCAGCAUGCCGCGGUGAAUACGUUCCCGGGCCUUGUACACACCGCCCGUCACACCAUGAGAGUCGGGAACACCCGAAGUCCGUAGCCUAACCGCAAGGGGGGCGCGGCCGAAGGUGGGUUCGAUAAUUGGGGUGAAGUCGUAACAAGGUAGCCGU
rnacentral:rRNA from 1 species